UAUUCUCAACUCUCCAAUACUUUGUUGUAAAGGAGAGCUUGGAUUGUGGAGGUUUGCUGGCUCCUUACUUGGGGUCAGCUCCUCUGAAAUGUAUUGGCAGCACUUGUGUGGGCACACCUGCUUUGGAUGUGAUAGUUAUCUGCAUUCAAUUGGACUGCACUCUGCUGAUAAAAUAAAGCCUCAUUUG
rnacentral:misc_RNA from 1 species